rnacentral:rRNA from 1 species
CGUUCGUUCCCGUGAAUAAAUCGAUGUGUUCAAAGCGUCCGACAUGUCGGGCCGAACGUUCGUAGCAUGGAACAACAGAGCAUCGACCGGUGAGCUCUGCAUCUGGCCGUCUUCAAAGCUCAUCUCGGGCAAUGCGUCACGCGACCAGUGGCCGGCCGGUCUCCCCCACGCCCAGGGGAGGUUGCGGGUUCCUUUUGGGCAGCUCUCCGCUGCUCUUGGGGGGCCGGGCCGACCAAAACGCGGUGGGGAGCACCAGCCUUUUGCUGGCGUGUGUUCGAUCGGAAGCAAGGAGCCCCGCCGGGGUGAUUCCUAUUGUGCCGCGAGAGGUGAAAUUCUUAGACCGACAUAGGAGGCCCUGCCGCGAAAGCAGUUCACCAGACGGUGUCUGUCUAUCAAGAACGAGAGUCUGGGGAUCGAAGAUGAUCAGAUACCGUCGUAGUCCAGCACCGUAAACUGUGCCGGCUCAGCGUUGGAACGGUUCUGUUCCUGAAACGAAUCUUCCAGCACUUCUUCCCCAUACCGAGAAAUCCAGAGCUUCUGGGUUCAGGGGGAAGUACUGUCGCAAGGCUGAAACUUGAAGGAAUUGACGGAAUGACACCACCAGGCGUGGAUUAUGCGGCUUAAUUUGACUCAACACGGGGAAUCUUACCAGGCCAGGACGAUGCCUGGAUUGACAGAUUGACAGCUCUUUCUCGAUUCGUCGGACGGUGGUGCAUGGCCGUUCUUGGUUGGUGCUGUGAUGUGUCUGGUUCAUUCCGAUAACGAGCGAGAUGCCGGCCUCUCAAUAGACGCCACUGUCGAAAUCUGUAGGAGCGAUCGUAUCGCAGGGGGGCAGUUCUCGGCACCGGCGCUCGGGGCCCUCCUCGUUGGGGGCCCAGGGCGACUCUGCCAAGGGGUGUUCUCCCGGGUACAGACGUAUCGCUCCGAGACGGUGCGCUGCUUCUCCGAGGGACUCGUUGGGGAUUCUCAACCCUCACGAAGAUCGUGUGCAACAGCAGGUCUGUGAUGCUCCUAGAUGUCCUGGGCUGCACGCGCAAGACACUGGUGCAGCAAGCAAGCGAAUCCUCUCUGUGCGGGUCUGCGGACUCGCCACUGGGGUCCAGCCUUGACAGGGGUUGGCAAUCUGCGAGCCUGUGCAAAACCGUGCUGGGGAUCGAGGAUUGUAAUUGUUCGCCGUGAACGAGGAAUGCCUAGUAGGUGCCAGUCAUCAGCUGGCUCCGAUUACGUCCCUGCCAUUUGUACACACCGCCCGUCGUUGCUACCGAUGAUGCAGGAACAGAAGACGACGGAGGACCGGCGGGUCGUGACUGGGUGGUCCAAAAGCCAUCCGACGCCCGCUGCUCUGAAUUCGUCUAAUGUUCAUUUGUUAGAGGAAGCAAAA